CCUUAAACCCUUUCGGUGGAUUACCCCUUGAGUUUAACCAUAUCAAUAAGCGGAGGAAAAGAAACUUACGAGAUUCCCUAGUAAAGGCGGCGAAUCGGGAAAAGCCCGACUUGAGAAUCGGGCACCACCGGUGUUGAAUUGUAGUCUGGAGAAGCGUCCUCGGUGGCGGACGGGCGAAGUCCCUCGAGCAGGCACCGGAGAGGUGAGAGCCCCAUCGUGCGGACCUUGUCACACCACGAGGCGCCUCUGAGUCGGGUUGUUUGGGAAUCUGACCCUAAUCGGGCGGUAAAUUUAAAUCAAGGCUAAAUAAUGACGAGAGACCGAUAGCGAACAAGUACCGCGAGGGAAAGAUGAAAAGGACUUUGAAAAGAGAGUCAAAGAGUGCUUGAAAUUCUCGGGAGGGAAACAGAUGGGGGCUGGUGAUGCGCCCAGGUCGGAUGGAGAACGGCGAUAGCCGUUCUGCCAAUCGACUCGGGGCGUGGACCGACGCUAAUUGUGGCGGCGGCCCAAACCUGGGCCUUUGAUACACCUGUGGAUACGUCGUCGCCUCGAUCAUGGGAUCCAGCACGCGCCGUCUCGGCAUGCUUCGGUACGUACGUGCUUUGGGCGUCGGCCUGCGGGCUCUCCAUUCGGCCCGUCUUGAAACACGGACAAAGGAUUCUGACAUGAGUGCGAGUCAACGGGCUAGAAAACCCGUAAGGCCUAAGGAAGGCUGAUUGGCGGGAUCCUCACGGGUGCACCGCCAACCGACCUUGAUAUUACGAGAAGGGUUCGGUGAGAGCAUGCUGUCGGGACCGAAAGAUGGUGAACUAUGCAGGUGGGGGAAGCAGAGGAAACUCUGGUGGAGGCCCGCGAUCUUGACGUGCAAAUCGUUUAUCGACUUGGGUAUAGGGGCGAAAGACUAAUUGAACCGUCUAAUAGCUGGUUCCUCCAAGUUUCCUCGGGAUAGCUGGAUCCCUUAACGAGUUCUAUCGGGUAAAGCCAAUGAUUAGAGGCAUCGGGGCUGGCAACGCCCGACCUAUUCUCAAGCUUUAAAUAGGUAGGGCAAGAUCUGGUACGCUUCGUUGGUGGGCCCGAGAAUCAGGAGCCCCAAGUGGGCCAUUUUGCUAAGCGAGCUGGCGAUCUUGGGAUGAACCCGAAGCCGAGUUUCUGAUGACCCAACUGCGCUAACCUAGAACCCACAAAGGGUGUUGGUUGAUUAAGGCAAUGAGGGCGGUGGUCAUAGAAGUCGAAAUUUACUAAGGAGUGUGUAACAACUCACUGCUUGAAUCAACUAGCCCCGAAAAUGGAUGGCGCUUAAGUGCGCGACCUAUACCCGGCCGUCGGGGUAAGAGCCAGGCCCCGAUAAAUAGGAAGGCGUUGCGGUCACCUUAUAAAACCAGUAUGGCAAGCCAGCGAGCGACAAAUCGGUCUGAGAUCUUGGUGGUUGUAGCAAAUAUUCAAAUGAAAACUUUGAAGACUGAAGGGGGGAAUGGUUCCAUGUGAAUGGCACUUGCACAUGGGUUAGUCGAUCCUAAGAGAAGGGGAAAGCCCGUCUGAUAGUGCGUUCAGCGCGAGCUUCGAAAGAGAAUUGAGUUAAAAUUCAUGAGCAAGGACCUUGGCGCCUAACGGCAAUGUUAGGGAGUCUGGAGGCGUCGGCGGGGCCUCGGGAAGAGUUAUCUUUUUGUUUAACACCGCCACCUUGGAAGCGACUCGGUAGGAGGUAGGGUCCAAUGGGAAGAACAACGACGUCUCGUGGUGUCUAGUCUGCCUUGUGACCCUUGAAAAUCUAGAGGACCGAGUGCCGUCCGUGCGGUCGUACUCAUAAUCGCAUCAGUCUCCAAGGGGGCGACCUACGGUCAAUGGAACAAUGUAGGCAAGGGAAGUCGGCAAAAUGGAUCCGUAACCUCGGGAAAAAGAUUGGCUCGAGGGUGGGCAUGGGGUCCAGUCCCAAACCGUCGACCUUGAUUGCACUACUCGAGCGCUUUCGCGGUGAGAGUGGGUCCCGAAGUCUCGGCCGAGGGAUGAUGCAGGAGCGGCUCCUUGAGGAGCCUUCCGAGGCGACGAACAAUCGACUUCGAAUCGAAAUGCAGACAAGGGAAUCCAUUAUUUAAUUAAAGCAAAGCAUUGCGAUGGUCCUGCGGAUGCUCACGCAAUGUGAUUUACGCGAUCUCUGAAUGUCAAAGUGAAGAAAUUCAACCAAGCGGCGGGUAAAGCGGCGGGAGUAACUAUAACUCUCUUAAGGUAGCCAAAUGCCUCGUCAUCUAAUUAGUGGCGCACAUGAAUGGAUUAACGAGAUUCCCCUUGUCACAUCUACUAUCCGGUGAAACCACGACCAAAGGAGCGGGCUUGGCGAGAAUCGUGAGGAAAGAAGACUCUGUUGAGCUUGACUCUAGUUCAACUUUUUGAAAUGACUUGAGAGGUGUAGGAUAAGUGGGAGCUCUUCGGGGAAAUUGAAAUACCACUACUUUAAUCGUUAUUUUACUUAUUCCGUGAAUCAGAGGUGGGGCACAGCCCCUCUUUUUGGACCCAAGGUCGGCAUUCGGCCUGUCGAUUCGGGCAAAAGACAAUGUCAGGUGGGGAGUUUGGAUGGGGCGGCACAUCUGUUAAAAGAUAACGUAGGUGUGCUAAGAUAAGCUCAACGAGAACAGAAAUCUCGUAUGGAACAAAAGGGUAAAAGAUAGUUUGAUUCUGAUUUCCAGUACGAAUACAAACCAUGAAAGCGUGGCCUAUCGAUCUUUUAAACCUUGAAAUUUGAAGCUAGAGGUGUCGGAAAAGUUACCACGAGGAUAAGCGGCUUGUGGCGAUAGCGUUCAUAAGCGACGUUGCUUUUUGAUCCUUGAUGUUAGCUCUUCCUAUCAUUGUGAAGUAGAAUUCACCAAGUGUUGGAUUGUUCACCCACCAAUAGGGAACGUGAGCUGGGUUUAGACCGUCGUGAGAUAGGUUAGUUUUACCCUACUGAUGGCCGCGUCGCAAUAGUAAUUCAACCUAGUACGAGAGGAACCGUUGAUUCGCAUAAUUGGUCAUCGCGCUUGGUUGAAAACCCAAUGGCGUGAAGCUACCGUGCGGUGGAUUAUCACUAAACGCCUCUAAGUUAGAAUCUGGGCUAGAAGUGACGCACGCGCCCGUCGCCCAAUUGCCGACCCUCAGUAGGGGCCUUUGGCCCAAGGGCACGUGUCGUAGGUGCAGCGAUUGCGGCGGACAAGUCGCGGGCGCAUCCUUAGAGUGUAAUUCCCACCGAGCGACGGGUAGAAUCCUUUGCACACGACUUAAAUACACGACGGGGUAUUGUAAGUGGCAGAGUGUCCUUGCUGCCACGAUCCACUGAGAUUCAGCCCUUUGUCGCUUCGAUUCGU